UGAUUUGUUCCAGGCCCAGGAAACGUACCCUCCAGAUCGUCUGGCUCGGAGUUACGUGAAGUGGGUUAAUAUUUCCUGAGAUUACAAGAGGAAAGAUCAAAGGAGGAUAACUUCAGAGCCAGCAACAGGAGAGCCUGGCACGUACUAAGUACACAGGAAAUACUGGAGCACGGACAAAAUUCAAUAAAUGUCAGCCUUCUCCCAUGCUGGCGUGGGCUUGGCCUAUAGUAGACUGAGAAGCUGCAGCUUGGAGGUGACUUGCCCAAGGCUGCCCAGCUGUUAAACGGUGGCGCCAGGAGUAGCACCCAGAUUUGUAUAAACACAAACCUCUCUCCUGCUCCUGUCAUGUAUUCAGAUGGGAAACAGAGGCCACGAGAGGAGGACAGCCUUGCACAACAGGCAGAGGUGCUGUGUCUGUCCUGAGCCAUCGAACUGUGCAGUGAGCAGCCCAGGGAGACAGAGACGGUGUGUCCCUCCUCCAGAGGAAAGCUCAGGCACGCUCAGUGCCCAUUACAAAAGGUUUGGAUGCUCUAAGCUCGGGGCUCCUCUCCGUAACACACCCUACUGUGAGUGCAGGUGUUGUCUGGGCGUCACUGCAUCACCCCACGGGAACCAGAGCCGGGAAAGCCAGUGCUAGAAACCGUAGAUUUGCUGUGAGUAAUAAAGUCCCUUGUCUUUGACCUAGGAGGCUGUAUCUUCUGCCAGCAUCCGUGAUGCUGGCAGGCUAACAGGUUAGCUUACAAGUAGGGUGACAUCUUAGACCUUUUGCAGUUUUUGAUACCACACGGGCAAAACAGACACAGGUUUGGAAGAAGUUAUAAGAGAAAAAGAUACUUUCAAAAGAUACCAAAUAAUCUGGUCCUUUACAAAAAGGAAGACAAGAGAGCAAGGUGAUUUAGAACACAUGCUUUUGAUAUAGCAGGCCCUGGGUUCAAAUCCCAGGCCUACCAUGCCCACCAAGCACCCAGAUAAGUGUAGUACCAAUGGCAAAAAGGUGCCUGGCUGGCUGUGGGGACUGAGAUCUGGCCUGCACUCGCCUAACCAAGCCACCUUGGUGGGCCCUGGCAUGGGGCCGUGUCCCCCAGAGGUGACGUCUCUUUCUAAUAUGCCUAUGGGAGCGUGGGCCUUUUCUAAUUCUCACAAAAGUAUGGUGUAGACUUGAAGCUGCCCAUUGUUACGUGAGCUUGGGCGAGUUACCUCACUCCUCUCAGCCUCAGUUUUCUCACCAAUACGAGGACAAGGAACCCUAUCUCACAGCAGGACUUAAGGAUUCAGAGAAAUAAUGUGUAAAGGAAGCACAGGAUCUCGUGCUCGGGUAGUGCUUGAACACAGGAAAUAUGACAUUAAAAACAAUAAAAUGCCACAAGAUCUAAAACACAGAUCGGUGCCGAUAGGUGACUUGGUUUGGGUGAAACACAGACACUGGAAUAGGUGGCGAGGGCUGCACUGAGUAAACA